AUACAGAGGGUGCAAGCGUUAAUCGGAUUUACUGGGCGUAAAGCGCGCGUAGGUGGCUAAUUAAGUCAAAUGUGAAAUCCCCGAGCUUAACUUGGGAACUGCAUUCGAUACUGGUUAGCUAGAGUAUGGGAGAGGAUGGUAGAAUUCCAGGUGUAGCGGUGAAAUGCGUAGAGAUCUGGAGGAAUACCGAUGGCGAAGGCAGCGAUCUGGCCUAAUACUGACACUGAGGUGCGAAAGCAUGGGGAGCAAACAGGAUUAGAUACCCUGGUAGUCCAUGCCGUAAACGAUGUCUACUAGCCGUUGGGGCCCUUGAGGCUUUAGUGGCGCAGCAAACGCAAUAAGUAGACCGCCUGGGGAGUACGGUCGCAAGACUAAAACUCAAAUGAAUUGACGGGG
rnacentral:rRNA from 1 species